rnacentral:tRNA from 1 species
GACCUUAUAUUCAAGGAAUGAUAUUAGACUGCAAUUCUAAAGGUGUAGUAAUAUACUAAGGUUU